GGGGGGGGGGGGGGGGGGGGGGGGGGGGGGGGGGGGGGGGGGGGGGCGGGGGGUUUGUGGGGUGCUGGGGUGGCGAACGGGGGGGGGACACGUGGGUACGGGGCCCUGGACUGUGUGGUGGCUUCGGGCAACUGGGGCUACUACCGGGUAGUAGCUCCUUCUGCCUGGUGGGGGUUGGAAGGUUUCGGCGGUUGGGGAUGGACUCGCGGCUUAUCAUCUUGUUGGUGGGGUAGUGGCUUACCAAGGCUUUGACGGGUAGCCGGCCUGAGAGGGUGACCGGCCACAUGGGGACUGAGAUACGGCCCAGACUCCUACGGGAGGCAGCAGUGGGGAAUAUUGCACAAUGGGCGGAAGACUGAUGCAGCAACGCCGCGUGCGGGAUGACGGCCUUCGGGUUGUAAACCGCUUUCGCCUGUGACGAAGCGUGAGUGACGGUAAUGGGUAAAGAAGCACCGGCUAACUACGUG
rnacentral:rRNA from 1 species